GAAACUGCGAAUGGCUCAUUAAAUCAGUUAUCGUUUAUUUGAUAGUACCUUACUACAUGGAUAACCGUGGUAAUUCUAGAGCUAAUACAUGCURAAAACCCCGACUUCGGGAGGGGUGUAUUUAUUAGAUAAAAAACCAACGCCCUUCGGGGCUYCUUGGUGAUUCAUGAUAACUUMACGAAUCGCAUGGCCUUGCGCCGGCGAYGGUUCAUUCAAAUUUCUGCCCUAUCAACUUUCGAUGGUARGAUAGUGGCYUACCAUGGUWUCAACGGGUAACGGGGAAUUAGGGUUCGAUUCCGGAGAGGGAGCCUGAGAAACGGCUACCACAUCCAAGGAAGGCAGCAGGCGCGCAAAUUACCCAAUCCCGACACGGGGAGGUAGUGACAAUAAAUACUGAUACAGGGCUCUUUUGGGUCUUGUAAUUGGAAUGAGUACAAUUUAAAYCYCUUAACGAGGAACAAUUGGAGGGCAAGUCUGGUGCCAGCAGCCGCGGUAAUUCCAGCUCCAAUAGCGUAUAUUAAAGUUGUUGCAGUUAAAAAGCUCGUAGUUGAACCUUGGGCCUGGCYGGCCGGUCCGCCUCACCGCGUGCACUGGUYCGGCCGGGCCUUUCCUUCUGGGGAGCCKCAUGCCCUUCACUGGGUGUGCYGGGGAACCAGGACUUUUACUUUGAAAAAAUUAGAGUGUUCAAAGCAGGCCUUUGCUCGAAUACNUUAGCAUGGAAUAAUAGAAUA
rnacentral:rRNA from 1 species